rnacentral:tRNA from 1 species
AUUUAUCUAAUAUAAAAAGUAUAUUUGACUUCCAAUCAAAAAGUUUGUUAAAACAAGAUAAAUA